CCUACGGGAGGCAGCAGUAGGGAAUAUUGCUCAAUGGGGGAAACCCUGAAGCAGCAACGCCGCGUGGAGGAUGACGGUUUUCGGAUUGUAAACUCCUUUUGUUAGAGAAGAUAAUGACUGUAUCUAACGCAUAAGCACCGGCUAACUCCGUGCCAGCAGCCGCGGUAAUACGUAGGGUGCAAGCGUUACUCGGAAGCACUGGGCGUAAAGAGCGCGUAGGCGGGAUAGCAAGUCAGAUGUGAAAUCCUAUGGCUUAACCAUAGAACUGCAUUUGAAACUGUUAUUCUAGAGUAUGGGAGAGGUAGGUGGAAUUCUUGGUGUAGGGGUAAAAUCCGUAGAGAUCAAGAGGAAUACUCAUUGCGAAGGCGACCUGCUAGAACAUAACUGACGCUGAUGCGCGAAAGCGUGGGGAGCAAACAGGAUUAGAUACCCUGGUAGUC
rnacentral:rRNA from 1 species